CAGCAAUACAAUUCUAUUAGGGUUAGUGCUUGUAUAUAUAGCAAACUGUACCAUUGUAUUUACUGAGUCUCAUCAUUAUAUAAGUUGAAUUCCCAAUUCCCAAGUUUAUGUUCUUUUCCAUGCUCAUACGCAAUUUUAACAUCCUUGCUUAAAUGUCAAGAAUUCCAUGGAUGUUUUUCAUGUUUGAAGUUGUCACACAAAUUAAUAAAGUGUGGCAUUGUGAGGUGUUCUCAAUAUUGUUUGAGGAAUAUAGUGACAUUUUAAAGAGGUUGGAGAUUGAUAAUUUUGCUACCUCCACUGCAGGAUGUCAUUGUUCUUCCACAACUUUCAGUGUUUUCUUGAUUUAGCAAAGUUUCUUCAAAGCAAUUUAAGUGAUGUUGGUCGUGAUGCAAAGGAGUUGUCUAAAAGCAGAAGCAUUGCAGAAUCCUUUCAAAAAUUAGCAGAAGAAUAUUCGAUGUGAUCCCUCUAAAAUCAAAAGGAUGGUGUAAGAGAAGAAAGACUCUUGAAAAAAGAAAAUCACUUUAAUGGUGAAUUUGUUUCUACUGUUGUCCUUGCUUCAGAUAUUAGAAAAGCUGCUUUUUUGACAUACCUGUUAGGUGUAAGUAUGUAUUUUUGGGACCGGCUAAUGAAUUUAUGAGUCAUGGAUAUUCCUUUUGACUUACUAGAUUGCUCGAGGGGAACAGCCCAGAAUUGCCCAUAAUCGUUUUCUGUCUUAUCAGUCAUUGCUGAGAUGUUCUUUCAACUCUUCCUUUAUUUCCAAUUUAUCUCAACCUGCAAACUUUUUACAAUUCUUUUGUGGACAAGAAGGCAAUUCCUCAUGCUUGGAGUUCUGUUUAUCCUUUAGAACCUUGGAGGAGGAUAUUAUUGAUUAAAAAGAGAACUUUUGUUUCCACCUGUUCAUUUUGUCUAAAUGAUUAGAUGUGACAGAUUUUUAUCCUAUUUAUUCCUUUAAAUAACCUUAAUGACAUUUCAGAGGCUUCUUAUGAUUUUUUGCUCUUGUACUUUUUCUACUCUUUUCUGAUUGGUUACUUUGGAUUCUCAUGGUCUCACUAUGUUUGAAACUUUUAAGUGGUACCAAUUAAAAAUUAUAAAAUUAAAGUCUUAAUAUAUUUUCAUAACAAUCCUUUGAAAUUUGAUAUUUGCAAACAACUUCCUUCUUUACUAAAGAUCCUCUUCUUUAAUAUGGUGAUGCUUCUACAAUGUUAUAUACACACAAAAAAUCAUAUACCAAAUUAUCUACUAUGAUUGUUCCUCCUAAAAGGAUUAGGGAAAUUACCUUGGAGUACAUACAAUUCUUAUUUGAUUGUUACUCCUGUACGAGAUGUUUCUCCUAAGAGAUGUUCAGAAGAAAAGUUAUUUUCCACAAGACAGCAAUUCUGAUGCAUGUGAUACUAAUAAAAAAACACCUAGUUUAACCCGUUUCUAUAACCAUUUGUACACUUCAAAUCCAACCAUUCAACUUAUAUCAAUUUAGUUUUCAUUUGAAGAAAUAUUCUAUUCUUUAAGAUGUUCUUUAGACUUUCAUCUUUUUGGUCUCAUACCCAUAUGAAAAACUUUAUUCUCCUUUUGAUCAUCCUUUAAACCAUCAUCAUUAUUUAGGCAAAAUAAAAUUAUACUUUUGAUGCACAAUCACCUCGCAUUUCACUCCAUAAUACCAUUUCAACCAGUCCGUUUUUAAGACUAAGUUUAGGCGAAAGAUGUGCACUUCUUUCCUCAGCCUCUCUCCCAUUCAUUAUUUCCUCUUGCCAAGACCAUUUAAAAGUUGAAACCUUGUCUCCACCCUCUUGUAUUGUAUAAUUCACUAUAGCCUUCUAAUAAAAUGUUGGAUGGAAGUUGGAACUUUAGAGGGAAGGUUAGUUUUUCAUCUCCAAAUUUAAAGUGCCUAAAUUUAUAAAAAUGAACAAGGGUUAAUCAAUAUUUUUACAUACUGUCAUUUCAAAGUUCUCACAUUAAGAGAAAUUUUUACACAAGUACUAUUUAACUAUAAAAUUAUAAACAUGAUGUAGAAUAUAAGUGUGUCACCGAGCAAAUUAUGAAAGUGAAAACCCCCACCUACACAGUAGAAUUUCUGUAUUCGUACAUCUAAUACGAGUGAUGAAUCAAAAUUUAUAACCGCAAACUCAAUUUCUGAAAACUAAUAUAAGAAAUAAUUUGCAGAUUGUCAUCAUUAAGAGCCACCACAAGGCCCGGAAGCACACACU